rnacentral:rRNA from 1 species
GGAGUUUGGGCCGUGUCUCAGUCCCAAUGUGGCCGGUCACCCUCUCAGGUCGGCUACUGAUCGUCGCCUUGGUGAGCCGUUACCUCACCAACAAGCUAAUCAGACGCGGGUCCAUCCUGUACCACCGGAGUUUUUCACACUCUGACAUGCGUCAGUGUGCGCUUAUGCGGUAUUAUCACCUAUUUCUAAGUGUUAUCCCCCGGUACAGGGCAGGUUACCCACGUGUUACUCACCCGUCCGCCACUAAAAUGAAAAGAAUCCAUCCGAAAACUUCAUCUAAACAUUCCGUUCGACUUGCAUGUGUUAGGCACGCCGCCAGCGUUCAUC